rnacentral:rRNA from 1 species
CUACGGGGGAGCAGCAGUAGGGAAUCUUCCACAAUGGACGCAAGUCUGAUGGAGCAACGCCGCGUGAGUGAAGAAGGUUUUCGGAUCGUAAAGCUCUGUUGUUGGUGAAGAAGGAUAGAGGCAGUAACUGGUCUUUAUUUGACGGUAAUCAACCAAAAGUCACGGCUAACUACGUGCCACAGCCGCGGUAAUACUAGUGGCAAACGUUGUCCGGAUUUAUUGGGCGUAAAGCGAGCGCAGGCGGAAUGAUAAGUCUGAUGUGAAAGCCCACGGCUCAACCGUGGAACUGCUUCGGAACUGUCAUUCUUGAGUGCAGAAGAGGAGAGUGGAAUUCCAUGUGUAGCGGUGGAAUGCGUAGAUAUAUGGAAGAACACCGGUGGCGAAGGCGGCUCUCUGGUCUGCAACUGACGCUGAGGCUCGAAAGCAUGGGUAGCGAACAGGAUUAGAUACCUGGGUAG